rnacentral:rRNA from 1 species
GGAUUGAACGCUGGCGGCAGGCCUAACACAUGCAAGUCGAGCGGUAGAGAGGUGCUUGCACCUCUUGAGAGCGGCGGACGGGUGAGUAAUGCCUAGGAAUCUGCCUGGUAGUGGGGGAUAACGCUCGGAAACGGACGCUAAUACCGCAUACGUCCUACGGGAGAAAGCAGGGGACCUUCGGGCCUUGCGCUAUCAGAUGAGCCUAGGUCGGAUUAGCUA